UUUCCGUAGGUGAACCUGCGGAAGGAUCAUUAAUGAGUUGUCAUGGGGUUCGAUGCUGGCAGCCAAUUUUUGGAUGCAUGUGCUUGCCCUAACAAUCAUCUUCCAAACACCUGUGCACAUUUUUGAGGGAGUCAUGAGUUGGUUGCCGCUCUUGGGUGAUUUUCUCACAUUCCCUUAAAUCAUUAUACGCUAUUAACAAUGUUGAACGUGCUCUGUGCCGCAAGGCUAUUAAUAUAAUACAACUUUUAACAACGGAUCUCUUGGCUCUC
rnacentral:misc_RNA from 1 species